rnacentral:lncRNA from 1 species
UGUCAAGCCUCUGAGCCCAAGCCAAGCAAUCGCAUCCCCUGUGACUUGCACAUAUACGCCCAGAUGGCCUGAAGUAACUGAAGAAUCACAAAAGAAGUGAAUAUGCCCUGCCCCACCUUAACUGAUGACAUUCCACCACAAAAGAAGUGUAAAUGGCCGGUCCUUGCCUUAAGUGAUGACAUUACCUUGUGAAAGUCCUUUUCCUGGCUCAUCCUGGCUCAAAAAGCACCCCCACUGAGCACCUUGCGACCCCCACUCCUACCCGCCAGAGAACAAACCCCCUUUGACUGUAAUUUUCCUUUACCUACCCAAAUCCUAUAAAACGGCCCCACCCCUAUCUCCCUUCGCUGACUCUCUUUUCGGACUCAGCCCACCUGCAC